CCUACGGGUGGCAGCAGUAGGGAAUCUUCGUCAAUGGGCGCAAGCCUGAACGAGCGAUGCCGCGUGAGUGAAGAAGGCCUUCGGGUCGUAAAGCCCUGUUGCGGGGGAAAAAAAGCAGCAUCAGGAAAUGGGUGCUGACUGAUGGUGCCCCGCCAGAAAGUCACGGCUAACUACGUGCCAGCAGCCGCGGUAAUACGUAGGUGGCGAGCGUUAUCCGGAAUGAUUGGGGGUAAAGGGUGCGCAGGCGGUCCUGCAAGUUUGGAGGGAAACGCAUGGGCUCAACCCAUGAAUGGCUUUGGAAACUGGAGGACUGGAGAGCAAGAGAGGGCGGUGGAACUCCAGGUGUAGCGGUAAAAUGCGUAGAUAUAGGGAAGAACACCAGUGGCGAAGGCGGCGGCCUGGCCUGUGGCUGACGCUGAGGCACGAAAGCGUGGGGAGCAAAUAGGAUUAGAUACCCUUGUAGUC
rnacentral:rRNA from 1 species